rnacentral:rRNA from 1 species
UGAUAAACUAUAGAAGGUCCAGCCUGCCCAGUGAAUUAAUUUAACGGCCGCGGUAUCCUAACCGUGCGAAGGUAGCGUAAUCACUUGUUCUUUAAAUAAGGACUAGUAUGAAUGGCACCACGAAGGUUAUACUGUCUCCCUUUUUUGAUCAAUUAAACUAAUCUUCACGUGAAGAAGCGUGAAUAAAUAUAUAAGACGAGAAGACCCUAUGGAGCUUAAAAUUAUGCAACAAUUGCUAUUAACCUUAAAUUUUAUGAAUAAUUUUUUACUAAACACCAUGAUUGCUAAUUUUUGGUUGGGGUGACCGCGGAGUAAAAAUUAACCUCCACAAUGAAAGAAACCAAUAUUCUAAACUAAGAGCUACAACUCAAAGUAUUAAUAUUUUAACAUUCUUUGAUCCAAUUUUUUGAUCAACGAACCAA